UCUGUUCCUCUUCGCCGCGCCGAGCCAGGUUCCGGGGUGGGGAGCGGAAUCUGGAUUUCAGCCUCAUUUCCAGGAUGGACUCGGAAAGCCGGCAAAGAUGAGCGAGCCGUUCGGAGGGCGGAAGGAGACCGUUCCUGGACGCAUCACACCUUUUAAAGGAGUUAUGUUUAGCCUCAAGGAAAUCAGAGGGGAAGCAGCCUUGCAAGGAGAGAGAAUCUUAGGACCUUGGUCACAUGCUAAAGACUCUGCACUCUUCCAGCGUCUGGCUCUUCUGGCUCCAGGGCCGGCUCUUUUCUACACUGAAAAUGGUUACAGCCCAAACUUCCUGUUUAGAUUAACUCUGGCUAGCCGAAGCCACAAAGGAGACAGGAAUGUCUGUCCCAGAAAGAGAGAGAAACAAGGAAGGUAUAACCCAAGCCAGGAUGCCAUCUUGAACUGAUUCUGAUUUUUGAACCAAGAACUCAUUUUUUAAUCUGAACCUGGAAACACUGAGAUAAUCUGCAUAACAGAUCAUCCGUGCCUUUCCUCAAGCGGUCAGCCGAAUUAAUCAAAGGGGUACCUCAUAGUGUCUCCUUUCUGACUUUGUUAUGGGCAAGAGUCUCUCAGCUCAGCCAUCCACAACUUGUCAUGUUGAUAUUCUGUUGCUCAGUUAAUCAUAGCAGCUGCUGUAUCUUUCUGGGGAAGUGUUCAUUCACCUUUGGAAGGAUUGGUGAUAACCCCAACACAGCCAAUUUCCAGACGUUGAUGAGCCCAGCCCCGGAAUUGCUGGAGUCCUCCCCACCUUGGAGACCAGCAGUAAGAGGGCCAGUGUUUCCAGACAGCCGGUUCCUCAUUCCCACUUGUGUUAGCUCACAGUGCUCAGAGGCCAAUGGGAAAAGAGGAGCCAAGAAGCAAUAAUAGUUCUGUGGGAUCUGUACAAAAAUAGACACGUCUACAAAGUAUGCGAGUGAGACAGGAUGGAAAGAGAGACAGAUGAACCUUCAGAAACCUCUAGAAAAGAGUCUCGGCUACUUCUAAAAAGCUGCUUCUACCUCGUGACUUUGUCUUUCCUCUUCAAUCAAAAUAUAGGAUCUCAAGUAUUCCAGCCUGGCUAUGAAUUCCCUAUGUACCUAUACAGAUAAAGGUGACUUUGAACUCUCCUCCUCCUGUGUACACUUGCCAAAUGAUGGGAUCAUACACAUGCACUACCACAUCUGGUUCAUGCAGCACUGGGAUGGAACCCAGGCUUACAAGUUAUGUGCAUGCUAGGCAAGCACUCUACCAAUCGAGGUACAUCCAUAUUUUUCCUUAACAUCUCUUGAGCAAGGUUCACUAUGCAGGUCAGGCUAGGUUUGAACUCAAGAUCCUCCUGCCUCAGCCUCCUAAGUGCUAGAUUAAGGGCAUAUACCACCACGUUUAGCACAUUUCUUUACCUAAAAAUAGUAGUUUCAUGAGGACUAAAUAAAAAGAUUCACAGAAAUUGCUAAAGCAUAGUGUGUGUGGUUAGAAGGGUUUGGUAAUGGUAACUCCUAAAUGAUUUAUGUAAUCAGUGACCUAUGCUUGGGAGAGACCCACACUGGAUACCAGGUAAACUACAACUCGGGAGCAGAUCUUUUUUCUCUGUAUAGAGUCCAGCAGCCAAAAUGGAAACUGAGCCUUGCCCGUAUUAGGCAACGGGGAGAACCAACCUAGAUGCAAACUGUACAAAGAUUUCCCAGGCCAAGAGUCGUGUUGCAAAGCCCGAGCGAGGAUCAGCGUCAGUACAAUCAGAUGAAUAACACAUUCAUGAAGUGUUUGGAUAAGACUUGGCAUUGCUUGUUUCUCCUAAGGACACUUCAGGAUGACCUACUUCUUCCUCUUUGUUUUCAUGUCUGUCGCCUUGUCCUUCCAAAUCUGCGUUCUGUACUUCCUCAUCAGCCAUUUCUACAACCAAGUAGCGUUGGCCAGCAUCACCCAUCCUGUUUCCAUGCUGUCCUGAGAAGUAGUCUAAGUGGGUCACCGUGGAGAAGAGCCGAGUGUUGCCCCCCCCCCCC